rnacentral:rRNA from 1 species
UACGGGGGGGGGCAAGCGUUGUUCGGAAUUACUGGGCGUAAAGGGCUCGUAGGCGGCCAACUAAGUCGAACGUGAAAUCCCUCGGCUUAACCGGGGAACUGCUUCCGAUACUGGAUGGCUUGAGUGUGGGAGAGGGAUGCGGAAUUCCAGGUGUAGCGGUGAAAUGCGUAGAUAUCUGGAGGAACACCGGUGGCGAAGGCGGCAUCCUGGACCAUUACUGACGCUGAGUGAGCGAAAGCCAGGGGAGCAAACGGG